rnacentral:rRNA from 1 species
AGCGAACGCUGGCGGCAGGCCUAACACAUGCAAGUCGAACGAACUCUUCGGAGUUAGUGGCGGACGGGUGAGUAACACGUGGGAACGUGCCUUUAGGUUCGGAAUAACUCAGGGAAACUUGUGCUAAUACCGAAUGUGCCCUUCGGGGGAAAGAUUUAUCGCCUUUAGAGCGGCCCGCGUCUGAUUAGCUAGUUGGUGAGGUAAAGGCUCACCAAGGCGACGAUCAGUAGCUGGUCUGAGAGGAUGAUCAGCCACAUUGGGACUGAGACACGGCCCAAACUCCUACGGGAGGCAGCAGUGGGGAAUCUUGCGCAAUGGGCGAAGGCCUGACGCAGCCAUGCCGCGUGAAUGAUGAAGGUCUUAGGAUUGUAAAAUUCUUUCAACGGGGACGAUAAUGACGGUACCCGGAGAAGAAGCCCCGGCUAACUUCGUG